rnacentral:rRNA from 1 species
AACUAACGCUGGCGGCGUGCCUAACACAUGCAAGUCGUACGAGAAAGCCGGCUUCGGCUGGUGAGUAAAGUGGCGCACGGGUGAGUAACGCGUGGAUAAUCUGCCCUUAAGUGUGGAGUAACGUACCGAAAGGUGCGCUAAUACCGCAUAAUGCCUGGCAACACAAGUUGUCCGGCCAAAGAAGGCCUCUGUUUACAAGCUUUCGCUUCAGGAUGAGUCCGCGUACCAUUAGCUUGUUGGUGGGGUAAUGGCCUACCAAGGCUGCGAUGGUUAGCUGGUCUGAGAGGAUGAUCAGCCACACUGGAACUGAGACACGGUCCAGACUCCUACGGGAGGCAGCAGUGAGGAAUAUUGCGCAAUGGGGGCAACCCUGACGCAGCAACGCCGCGUGAGUGAGGAAGGUUUUCGGACUGUAAAGCUCUGUCGAGCGGGAAGAAGUGUACCAUGGCUAAUAUCCAUGAUAUUUGACGGUACCGCUAGAGG